UUAAGUGAAUAAGGGCGCACGGUGGAUGCCUUGGCACUAGGAGCCGAUGAAGGACGGGACUAACACCGAUAUGCUUUGGGGAGCUGUAAGUAAGCUAUGAUCCAGAGAUUUCCGAAUGGGGGAACCCAAUAUCUUUUAUAGGAUAUUACUUUUCAGUGAAUACAUAGCUGAUUAGAGGUAGACGCAGAGAACUGAAACAUCUUAGUACCUGCAGGAAGAGAAAGAAAAUUCGAUUCCCUGAGUAGCGGCGAGCGAAACGGGAAGAGCCCAAACCAACAAGCUUGCUUGUUGGGGUUGUAGGACUCCAAUAUGGUAGUCUGUUAGUAUAGUUGAAGGAUUUGGAAAAUUCCGCUAAAAAGGGUGAAAGCCCCGUAGACGAAAUGCUGACAACACCUAGGAGGAUCCUGAGUACGGCGGAACACGAGAAAUUCCGUCGGAAUCCGCGGGGACCAUCCCGCAAGGCUAAAUACUCCCUAGUGACCGAUAGUGAACCAGUACCGUGAGGGAAAGGUGAAAAGCACCCCGGAAGGGGAGUGAAAUAGAUCCUGAAACCGUGUGCCUACAACAAGUCAAAGCUCGUUAAUGAGUGAUGGCGUGCCUUUUGUAGAAUGAACCGGCGAGUUACGAUUGCAUGCGAGGUUAAGUCGAAGAGACGGAGCCGCAGCGAAAGCGAGUCUGAAUAGGGCGAAUGAGUAUGUAGUCGUAGACCCGAAACCAUGUGAUCUACCCAUGUCCAGGUUGAAGGUGCGGUAAAACGCACUGGAGGACCGAACCCACGUACGUUGAAAAGUGCGGGGAUGAGGUGUGGGUAGCGGAGAAAUUCCAAACGAACUUGGAGAUAGCUGGUUCUCUCCGAAAUAGCUUUAGGGCUAGCCUCGGAAUUGAGAAUGAUGGAGGUAGAGCACUGUUUGGACUAGGGGCCCAUCUCGGGUUACCGAAUUCAGAUAAACUCCGAAUGCCAUUCAUUUAUAUCCGGGAGUCAGACUGCGAGUGAUAAGAUCCGUAGUCGAAAGGGAAACAGCCCAGACCACCAGCUAAGGUCCCAAAAUAUAUGUUAAGUGGAAAAGGAUGUGGGGUUGCACAGACAACUAGGAUGUUGGCUUAGAAGCAGCCACCAUUUAAAGAGUGCGUAAUAGCUCACUAGUCGAGUGACCCUGCGCCGAAAAUGUACCAGGGCUAAACAUAUUACCGAAGCUGUGGACUACACCAUUAGGUGUAGUGGUAGGAGAGCGUUCUAAGGGCGUUGAAGGUCGAUCGUGAGGACGGCUGGAGCGCUUAGAAGUGAGAAUGCCGGUAUGAGUAGCGAAAGACAGGUGAGAAUCCUGUCCACCGUAUGACUAAGGUUUCCUGGGGAAGGCUCGUCCGCCCAGGGUUAGUCGGGACCUAAGCCGAGGCCGAUAGGCGUAGGCGAUGGACAACAGGUUGAUAUUCCUGUACCAGUUGUUUUUGUUUGAGCAAUGGAGGGACGCAGUAGGCUAAGGAAUGCAUGCGAUUGGAAGUGCAUGUCCAAGCAAUGAGUCUUGAGUAGAGUUAAAUGCUUUACUCUUUAAGGACAAGUUGUGACGGGGAGCGAAAUAAUAGUAGCGAAGUUCCUGAUGUCACACUGCCAAGAAAAGCUUCUAGUGAGAAAACAACUGCCCGUACCGUAAACCGACACAGGUAGUCGAGGAGAGUAUCCUAAGGUGAGCGAGCGAACUCUCGUUAAGGAACUCGGCAAAAUGACCCCGUAACUUCGGGAGAAGGGGUGCUGACUUCGGUCAGCCGCAGUGAAUAGGCCCAAGCGACUGUUUAUCAAAAACACAGGUCUCUGCAAAAUCGUAAGAUGAAGUAUAGGGGCUGACGCCUGCCCGGUGCUGGAAGGUUAAGAGGAUGGGUUAGCUUCGGCGAAGCUCAGAAUUGAAGCCCCAGUAAACGGCGGCCGUAACUAUAACGGUCCUAAGGUAGCGAAAUUCCUUGUCGGGUAAGUUCCGACCCGCACGAAAGGCGUAACGAUUUGGGCACUGUCUCAACGAGAGACUCGGUGAAAUUUUAGUACCUGUGAAGAUGCAGGUUACCCGCGACAGGACGGAAAGACCCCAUGGAGCUUUACUGUAGUUUGAUAUUGAGUGUUUGUACCACAUGUACAGGAUAGGUAGGAGCCGAUGAGACCGGAACGCUAGUUUCGGAGGAGGCGCUGGUGGGAUACUACCCUUGUGUUAUGAACCCUCUAACCCGCACCACUAAUCGUGGUGGGAGACAGUGUCAGAUGGGCAGUUUGACUGGGGCGGUCGCCUCCUAAAAGGUAACGGAGGCGCCCAAAGGUUCCCUCAGAAUGGUUGGAAAUCAUUCGAAGAGUGUAAAGGCAGAAGGGAGCUUGACUGCGA
rnacentral:rRNA from 1 species